rnacentral:misc_RNA from 2 species
CAACCCCUCGAGCCCCCGGGCCCGGUGUUGGGGACCGACCCAAGCCCUCGCGGGCGGUCGUCCCUGAAAUACAGUGGCGGUCACGUCGCGGACCCUCUGCGUAGUAGCAACACCUCGCACUGGAGAGCGGCGCGCCCACGCCCCGAACCACUUUUUCAAA